rnacentral:rRNA from 1 species
GUAAUCGCGGAUCAGCAUGCCGCGGUGAAUACGUUCCCGGGCCUUGUACACACCGCCCGUCACACCAUGGGAGCCGGUAAUACCCGGAGUCAGUAGUCCAACCUCGUGAGGACGCUGCCGAAGGUAGGAUUGGCGACUGGGGUGAAGUCGUAACAAGGUAAC